GCCCCGUUCGUCUAGCGGCCUAGGACGCUGCCCUCUCACGGCAGUAACACCGGUUCAAAUCCGGUACGGGGCA
rnacentral:tRNA from 1 species